UCAUUUUUAUCAGUUUUUAAAUUUCUAUUUAACUUUAAUUUAUUCCAGUUUUAGUUUAAGUAAUUUAAUUACUCUGAAAUUUUUGUACUUUCUCUUUUUUGCUAAGUUUAAGUUUUUCAUAAUAUAUUUAUUUAAUUUCAGCCUUAAUUCAAUUACUAAAAAAAAAAUCAGAUUUUUCUAUAUAUUUAAAUUUAAUUUCAGCUUUAUUUCAAUUACUGAAAUUUUAGUUUUAGUUAAAUGACAGAAUUUUUUUUUUCAUUUUUAUUUUAUUUCAGCUUUAUUUCAAUUAAUGAAAACAAUUUUUAAUAGUUUUAGUUAGCAAUCACAGCACUGAUUUACUGGAGUCUUUUUCCAUUGCUCUCCAUUAAAUCUUAUCGCUGUCACAAAUCAGUAUAUGAAAGAUCUUGUUUAUCACAAUGUAUAUUAAUAAUGCUUGAUAAAUGAGUAAAUAUACUCAUGUGAAACUAUCCCUUUCUCAAGGAACUUCAUGAGAACUUGUGUUGGUGUGUGUUCUUCCUCCUGUACUCAGUUCAGUUCCUCUCAUUUCUCCAGGCGUUUGAGAAGCCCAGUCCACCCCAGAAGCCUCUUCCCGCAGACCCGCUGAGUGGAAAGGUCCGAGUGAUUCGGAACCCAUCGGCCGUGCGACUUCCAGCUCCCAUCCCGACCCCAGCCUCCCCGCGACCCGCUCCGCCUCACCCACAGCCCUCCAGGCCUCCUCCUAAACAGCCGCCCACCCUGCCGAAGCCUAACUUCACAGCCGGAGUGAAGUUCAGCAGCUGAGAGACGGACAGAAGGGCUCUCGUCCCUGGAGACGCUCGCUUUUUGCACUAUGAACCUCUGCGGGACACAUGGUGAAGCGAGGGGUGACCUUUGACCCCCGCGGUGCUCUCCCUUUAAACGGUGCUAUGAGUCCAAGCUCAGGUACAUGUCACGCAUUAUUUAUGUCGGUUACGAGCGUAUUUAUUUGAGCACAGUGCACUGUGGUUGACACUUUCUCAAUCGUAGCAAUCAGAGGUUCACCCACGUUUACCUGAUUGUCCUUUUGUCCUUGUUGCUAUUGUUGUUGUUUGGACAUUUUUCGACUGUGUCCCAGCAGAUAAAGACGAGACGUGUUAUCUGUGAACGUGAACCACAUCAUGUGGACACUUAACUGGAUUGAAAACCAGAUUUUAAUGGAAACGUGAAUUGGGAGUUGAUGGUUCUGUAUCUGUGACACCAUUUGGUAUAUGAAAAGGGCUUUUUAAUAAUUUCAUAUGAUUUAAUGGCCAUUUUUAUAAUUUGUAUUAUGAAGUACAGUACAAUUGCAGUGAUACUUAAGGGAUGUUGAAGACACCUAUAUGAAUAUUAUCUCACAAUAACAUGCCCAGGUCACAUUUUAUCCCAAAUUAAAGGGAACAAAAUAAUAAAUACAAUUUUGCAUAAUGUAAAAUAUGUGUUUUUUUAUUCUUAUCUUUUUAAGGUAUAAUUAUUUGAAAGUAUUUUGUUUUUGAAAGUAUUUUGAUUCCCAUUACUGAUAUAAAGUAAUUUUAUAGUUAAAAAAAAAAAAAUAUAAUAAAGUUAAUUUAUAAAGUAAAAAAAAAAAAAGUAUAUAAAGAAAAGUAAUGAGAAUCAUCACAGAUAAUUGUAUGAUAAAUAUUCAGGCAUGUUACAGUUGUUGUUUUUUUAUAUGUAAAAUGUAAAACAUAAGCAGCAAAGUAUUCAAAACUUACUUAAAAAAUAUAUAUAUAAUUAUUACAAUGUUAAUUUUUUUUUUUUUUUUUUUUUUUUGCAUUAAUAGGAAUUUGAGUGGAAAAUAUGCUUAAUUUUUGUCAUGGAAAUCUUAAUGUUAAAAAUAAGCUUCAGUUUCUUUUCCAGUCUCUGAAUUUAUUUUUGCAAACAUAUUAAUCAAUUAAUUAAUUUAAAAAUCAUCUGGAAAAUCAUCCGGUCAGGGUUAUUUUCAUUCCUGUAUUGCAGUAAUGAAAAAUUGGAAAAUGUUCGUAAAAUAUCACAAUGCAAACAGUCUUCAAAACAGGCUCAAUUUUUGUAAGAAAAUCAUAAUUUCUUACUAAUUUAAUUUUCUACAUAUCUAAUAGGUCGUUGUUCCUUUUUUUUUUUUUUUUUUUGUAAGUUUGAAAACAUUUGCAACAAAUUAUAUGCACCAAAUCCAGCUUUUAUUGAUUUCAAAGCUCGCAAAAAAGAUUGACAGACACAGAUGUUGUAAUGCAGUUGUGUUCUAGAUAGACGGUUCACUCAGGAGAUUUCAGCUUUGAGAAGACCCUGAGAAGAGGCAGAAAGCCAAACCAGGCCGAGAUUUUGUGGUCAUGCAGCCAUAUUUUCAUAGAUGUCCUUUGAGAAGUAGUUAUUGUGGGGAAAUGAUUAAACAAAUUUAAAUUUUUUACUAAUUAGUUUAUGUCAUUACAGUAGAACUAUAAGUAAUAUCUUUAUCUAUUAAUUUACUAUAAGGUCUUAAGUGUACCAGAUUGGCUUUGGUGAGUAAACAGUUUUGCCACUUCAUGAGGAACUACAACAUAAUAUGAUUAAAUUAAAGUGUAAGAAUGAUAGUCUGAUGCACAAUGAUGGAAAAUAUUGUAAACAAAGUACAUUCAAAUAUCUUUCAUGACUCAAUCUACCAUCAAAAGUUUGUUGAGAAGUGUAAAAUACGAAAAAAUUUGUGCAUAAUGGCUGCAUUUAUUUGAUCAAAAAUACAGUAAAAACAGUCAUGUGUUUUCUAUGUUGAAUGUUUAAAAGAGUUUGCUUCAUAUUUUUGUGGAAACCAUGACUUUUUCAGGAUAAUUGAUACAUAGAAAGCUCAAAUGAAUAGUAUUUAUUUGAAAUAUAAAUCUUUGGUAACAUUAUAAAUGUUUUACUGUCACUUUUGAUCAAUUUAAUGCAUCCUUUUAUUAAUUUCUCUCAAAAAUCGAAAUACUGAAAGUUACCCAAGGUUUUGAAUAUAGUGUAUUUUAAUAAGAAAUAAUGCAAAUUUCACUCUCCAUUUGCAGGUUGAUGUUUGGCACUGAGAUUAACAUGCCUUGUUUUAAUCAAGACUGAGUCUUCUUGCAUUGUUAUUUGUUGCCACUGAGCCAUUUGUGAUCUCAAACGUGGGUCUUUUAUGCCUGCAUUCUGACACCUUAUGAGUGCCAAUAUAUCUGUUUACAUUGUAAAUUCAUCUUCAUUCACUGUAUUAGUAAACAUCACGAGUGUCCCGUUGCCUUUUUAAAGUGUUAAACCACACAGUGCAUUACAGUACGCACAGGGACUGUUCGGAU
rnacentral:lncRNA from 1 species